rnacentral:rRNA from 1 species
UACGAAGGGGGCUAGCGUUGUUCGGAAUUACUGGGCGUAAAGCGUAUGCAGGCGGACUUUUAAGUCAGAGGUGAAAUCCUGGAGCUCAACUCCAGAACUGCCUUUGAUACUGAAAGUCUUGAGUAUGGGAGAGGUGAGUGGAACUGCGAGUGUAGAGGUGAAAUUCGUAGAUAUUCGCAAGAACACCAGUGGCGAAGGCGGCUCACUGGCCCAUAACUGACGCUGAGGCACGAAAGCGUGGGGAGCAAACAGG